GAGGGUCUCUUAAUUUCACUACUCUUGAAGGGGAUAGAGAUCAAUGGGAUGUUUGGGGAUGAUACCAAUGGGAGUGCUUCAAUAUUACAAUGAGCUAGUCGUAAUUAGAUAUAGAACUCAUCACAAAUAUAUAUCGUUUGAAAUCAAUGUACGUUUGAACAUUAAAUGAUGCAUGCAACAAGUGUUUUGCAAGCUAGUCUUCCAUGAAGUGUCAG
rnacentral:lncRNA from 1 species